AUGCCGCUCUUUUCCCUGAACACCCAUGAGAGCACCGCCACGCUGCGAGGAGAGCAAGUCGACGUGCCUAUGCGGGCUGCAAAAAUGGAGGGCCUCGCCAAAUCGGAUGUUGUGUCUUGCUCAAGCACGUCAUUAAUGUGUGUUGGACAUGGACUCCACAUGGAACACUCUCUUUGCCACAUCAAAGAUGGCCUCAAGCCCCUAUAUGGAAGUGUCCAGUCUUGCCGUUCUACCAUUUUCUCUGGAACAACGAUGUACAACUUUGACGGAACACGGACCAUCAGUGCUCCAUCUGAGAUUGUAAACCAGUUUUUUAUCGGGGCCAGUUUUCCGGUUGGAAGGAAGAAACUCCACUCGCUGGGAGGACUUGGUGGUAAUUUACAAGAUCGUGCAGCAUUUUUCAUGUAA
rnacentral:rRNA from 1 species